GCCUAUCACAGGGUCAAUCAUUCGGCAGGGACCGCACCAUGAAGCCCAAAACUCGACUAGGACUGGCUUAUCGCAUUCUAGGACAAGCGACUGCCAUGUUGUCUUGGUCACGUCCGGAACUUCAAUCGCGGCCGUCUCCUGCGCCUCACAGACGACAGACCUCCGGCGAGCGGCCACGCCGCUCGCCAGAGCCACCGUCAUCGCCUUCGGCGCUGCAAUCCGCAGCCCAACAGACGCCGGCAAGAGCGCCGAUCCCCGGGGGCCGAAAGCGGCGGAGAUCGGCGCCAAGGCCGCGGAAGCAACUGCGACACCAGGACCAGAGCGAGGGACUGAGAGGGACGGGAUGACUGCAGCCGCCAUGGGGUUGUAGAGAGAGAUCGCGG
rnacentral:misc_RNA from 1 species